UACCAGCACCCCGAGUGGUCGGGACGUUUAUUGGGCCUAAAGCAUCCGUAGCCGGUUCUACAAGUCUUCCGUUAAAUCCACCUGCUUAACAGAUGGGCUGCGGAAGAUACUAUAGAGCUAGGAGGCGGGAGAGGCAAGCGGUACUCGGUGGGUAGGGGUAAAAUCCGUUGAUCCAUUGAAGACCACCAGUGGCGAAGGCGGCUUGCCAGAACGCGCUCGACGGUGAGGGAUGAAAGCUGGGGGAGCAAACCGG
rnacentral:rRNA from 1 species